AGCAGCCGCGGUAAUUCCAGCUCCAAUAGCGUAUAUUAAAGUUGUUGCAGUUAAAAAGCUCGUAGUUGAAUUUCGGGGUUAGUAGGUUGGUCAUGCCUCUGGUAUGUACUGGCCUCACUGAUUCCUCCUUCCUGAUGAACCGUAAUGCCAUUAAUUUGGUGUUGCGGGGAAUUUGGACUGUUACUUUGAAAAAUUAGAGUGUUUAAAGCAGGCUCGCGCUUGAAUACAUUAGCAUGGAAUAAUGAAAUAGGACGUUUGAUUCUAUUUUGUUGGUUUCUAGGAUCGGCGUAAUGAUUAAUAGGGAUAGUUGGGGGCAUUAGUAUUCAAUUGUCAGAGGUGAAAUUCUUGGAUUUAUUGAAGACUAACUACUGCGAAAGCAUUUGCCAAGGAUGUUUUCAUUAAUCAAGAACGAAAGUUAGGGGAUCGAAGACGAUCAGAUACCGUCGUAGUCUUAACCAUAAACUAUGCCGACUAGGGAUCGGAUGAUGUUAAUUUUUAAUGACUCAUUCGGCGCCUUAAC
rnacentral:rRNA from 1 species